rnacentral:rRNA from 1 species
CCUACGGGUGGCAGCAGUGAGGCAUAUUGGUCAAUGGACGAGAGUCUGAACCAGCCAAGUAGCGUGAAGGAUGACUGCCCUAUGGGUUGUAAACUUCUUUUAUAAAGGAAUAAAACGCGGCACGUGUGCCUUUUUGCAUGUACCUUAUGAAUAAGGAUCGGCUAACUCCGGGCCAGCAGCCGCGGUAAUACGGAGGGUCCGAGCGUUAUCCGGAAUUAUUGGGUUUAAAGGGAGCGUAGGUGGGUUGUUAAGUCAGUUGUGAAAGUUUGCGGCUCAACCGUAAAAGUGCAAUUGAUACUGGCAGGCUGGAGUACAGUAGAGGUAGGCGGAAUUCGUGGUGUAGCGGUGAAAUGCUUAGAUAUCACGAAGAACCCCGAUUGCGAAGGCAGCUUACUAAAGUGAGACUGACAUUGAUGCUCGAAAGUGUGGGUAUCAAACAGGAUUAGAUACCCUAGUAGUC